rnacentral:rRNA from 1 species
ACGGGCGGAGUGUACAAGGCCCGGGAACGUAUUCACCGCGGCAUUCUGAUCCGCGAUUACUAAGCAAUUCCAUCUUCAUGCAGGCGGGUUGCAGCCUGCAAUCUGAACUGGGACCGUUUUUUGAGAUUCGCUUCACCUCGCGGUGUCGCUGCCCUUUGUUAACGGCCAUUGUAGUACGUGUGUAGCCCAGGUUCAUAAGGGGCAUGAUGAUUUGACGUCAUCCCCCGCCUUCCUCCGUUUUGUCAACGGCAGUCUGUCUANAGUGCUCUUGCGUAGCAACUAAAACAUAAGGGUUGCGCUCGUUGCGGGAC